rnacentral:rRNA from 1 species
GACGAACGCUGGCGGCGUGCUUAACACAUGCAAGUCGAACGAAGAGCGAUGGAAGCUUGCUUCUAUCAAUCUUAGUGGCGCACGGGUGAGUAACGCGUAAUCAACCUGCCCUUCAGAGGGGGACAACAGUUGGAAACGACUGCUAAUACCGCAUACGAUCUAAUCUCGGCAUCGAGGAAAGAUGAAAGGUGGCCUCUAUUUAUAAGCUAUCACUGAAGGAGGGGAUUGCGUCUGAUUAGCUAGUUGGAGGGGUAACGGCCCACCAAGGCGAUGAUCAGUAGCCGGUCUGAGAGGAUGAACGGCCACAUUGGGACUGAGACACGGCCCAGACUCCUACGGGAGGCAGCAGUGGGGAAUCUUCCGCAAUGGACGAAAGUCUGACGGAGCAACGCCGCGUGAGUGAUGACGGCCUUCGGGUUGUAAAGCUCUGUUAAUCGGGACGAAAGGCCUUCUUGCGAACAGUUAGAAGGAUUGACGGUACCGGAAGAGAAAGCCACGGCUAACUACGUG